GAUGAACGCUGGCGGCGUGCCUAAUACAUGCAAGUCGAGCGAACAGACGAGGAGUUUGAUCUUCUGACGUUAGCGGCGGACGGGUGAGUAACAUGUGGAUAACCUCCCUAUAAGACUGGGAUAACUUCGGGACACCGGUGCUAAUACCGGCUAAUAUCUUGAACCGCAUGGUUCAAUAGUGAAAGACGGCUUUGCUGUUACUUAUAGACGGAUCCGCGCCGCAUUAGCUAGUUGGUAAGGUAACGGCUUACCAAGGCAACGAUGCGUAGCCGACCUGAGAGGGUGAUCGGCCACACUGGAACUGAGACACGGUCCAGACUCCUACGGGAGGCAGCAGUAGGGAAUCUUCCGCAAUGGGCGAAAGCCUGACGGAGCAACGCCGCGUGAGUGAUGAAGGUCUUCGGAUCGUAAAGCUCUGUUAUUAGGGAAGAACAAAUGUGUAAGUAACUAGGCACGUCUUGACGGUACCUAAUCAGAAAGCCACGGCUAACUACGUG
rnacentral:rRNA from 1 species